rnacentral:rRNA from 1 species
ACGGAGGAUGCAAGUGUUAUCCGGAAUCACUGGGCGUAAAGCGUCUGUAGGUGGUUUAAUAAGUCAACUGUUAAAUCUUGAGGCUCAACCUCGAAACCGCAGUCGAAACUACUAGACUAGAGUAUAGUAGGGGUAAAGGGAAUUUCCAGUGGAGCGGUGAAAUGCGUAGAGAUUGGAAAGAACACCGAUGGCGAAGGCACUUUACUGGGCUAUUACUAACACUCAGAGACGAAAGCUAGGGUAGCAAAUGGGAUUAGAUACCCCAGUAGUCCUAGCUGUAAACAAUGGAUACUAGAUGUUGAACAGAUCGACCUGUGCAGUAUCAAAGCUAACGCGUUAAGUAUCCCGCCUGGGAAGUAUGCUCGCAAGAGUG